rnacentral:lncRNA from 1 species
UCAUUUGCAUAUUCUAGGGUUUGGAUUGCACACUUGAGAAGUUUGGGGUGAAAUCAUGAGGACUUGUCUGCAAAUUUAAUUGUUUUGGGCUCACAUCAUAAAUAUCCAAAAGAUAAAGGGCCAUAUGUGCAAAAAGUCCAAAAUUCACCAUUGUUGCGUCGUGGUUCCUCCGCUACGAGAUGGCUGCGACGGUGAGAAGCGACAACUCCAGAGCUUCAGGACAUGCUGUCAUGGCUCGAGCUGAGGUCAAGGCAGCGACUCUGAGCACAUCUGCGACUUGUUUAUGAUGACGACGGCGUGAAUCGUGGAGGAGAUGAAGACGGAGGCGG